UCUUCCUCCUGUCGGCGGGAGGUGUGGAUCACCUACUGCGUGCGGGGAACAAACGCCGCCCCAGUACCGGUCCCUGCAGCGGAGUAGCCUUCACCUGCAAGGUGAACGCCUGCUCACCACGUAAUCCCCAAACGCAGAUAUCACGUUGUCUCUGCAACUUUCCCUGACAACCACCCAAUGCAAUUAAUUAUCCCACAAUAGUAUCUCCCGCAGGCUCUCUGUAGAACCAUAGAAUUCAUCCAUCAAAAUACAAUCAUUUGUUGAUCCGUCUCUCUCUGCCGCCCCCAAAUGUGAAUUCCUUGAGUCAGAGACUAUUCUACUCAGCAAAACAUUUGUGAGUGGAAUUAAAUUGAAAUAAACCGUUAUAGUCCACUCACAGAUGGAAAACACAUAGUAAAAUCCUAGAAUUCCAUUUCUCCCCUGAAAAUUUCCCAGACAGUCAGAGGGAGUUUCAUUCUUUCCUGUUUACUUUUCUCCCAAAUAGGCCUUCUGAGGCAGCAGAAUAGGGAAGGAAGUCAGAAGACUGACCAGCUCAUACCUAUGGAAUGCCUAUCAUACAUACACUUAAAAUUAUGGCAAGCUCACGCAGGCGCACUAAGAGAGAAAAAACAAGAAAACAGAUAUGACAAUUAUAGGAAAUCCCCUCCCUAGAGUUAAAGAAGUGUAGGAAGUGGGUAUAAAAGAACAAAGGCUAUAUUAAUCCAGGGCUGACACCACUUGAAGAUAAGCCCGUUCCUCUCUCUGCUCUUUCACUUUGGUUUAAAGCUGCCUUCUGCUGGCACGGAUUGGGCAGUUAAGAACGAAAAAGGCACUGGCCGCUUGAAGACUCCCAUUGUUGCGGGAAAGCAGAGGACCAGAAAGACCAAUGGGUGGAGCAGGAGGAUUUUAUUAAGGGUCAAGCCUGCAAUACCUAAAGCUCCAGACCUGGAACCCAAAGCUCCCAUCAGUCGCUACCCUGUGAACCUGUGGAGGAUCUGAAGUACCUGUUUAAAAGGCAUCCAAAAGAUAGAAUCUAUCAAGCUACAAAUGGCUAUGUUGCCUGAAGCCCCAGACAUCAUCCUACAAGAAAUAAGUCCAGACUUCUUAAUUUCCCCCUGGAUAGAGCAGGGUAAGAGUUCUGUGGUCCCCUGUUAGGUGGGGCCAGCAGUCCCACUCAGCUGGAAGCAAGUAUAGAAGAAAGAACUUCAACCCUCAGCAACCUAUUAUGAUUUAUGGGGAUCACAUCUCUCAGAGGGAAUUGAGGCAGGAGAAUAGGGAAGGAAGUCAGAAAAUCAACCUGCAGCCUUUUCUCACCAAAACAAGCAUAAGGCACCAUCUGAUAAGGAAGCUGAAGCAAUGAACCAAUGCUUUCUGCAGUAAACAAAUCUGGUAUAACCUUUUAUUAUAAUAAGUUACUUAAAGCCCAUACAUAUGGAAUGCAUAUCAUACAUACACUUAAAAUUAUGGAAUGGCAAGCACAUGCAGGCGCACUGAGAGAGAAAACCAACAAGAAAACUGAUAUGUCAAUUAUAGGCAACCUCCUCCCUAAAAGUUAAGUAAGAGUAGUAAGGUGGUAUAAAAGAACAAAGGCUAUGUUAACCCAGGGCUGAUACCACUCGCGGAUCAGCCCAUUCUUCUCUCUGGAACAUUCUUUGCUUAAUACAUCUUGUGGGGUCAUUA
rnacentral:lncRNA from 1 species